rnacentral:lncRNA from 1 species
ACGACUCUCUCUUUUUUUUUGUUAGAAAUUAGUACAAUUACAGCUUUCAACCUUAUCCUGAAAGGAAUUCGAAUUUUGAAUUUUGAAUUCACCCAAAAUUCCUCACUCGUUUUCCCUCCAUUUCAGCUCUUUUCUCCUCUAUAAAAGCCAAUUUAUUCUUCAUUACGGGAGCGGGCAAAAUAUUUUAUAACGUAGGGGAGAACAGUGAGAAACAAAUAUAAGAAAGGAGUCGAAAUUUACAAAGUAUAGACAGCUUAUAUUAGAGCUAGAUGAUAAGGAAAUAAAAUGGAUAUACGCAAAGCGUUUUGAGAUAGGUUGUGAGAUUAGGAGUACUUGGAGCCAUACUUCCUCGAUUUUACCUCUUGCGAGUCUGUUGUAGUCUAUUUGUGGUCGUGGAAAGCUCUUUAGCUCUUUUUGUCUCAGUUCGCUGCCACAAAUAAGGUAACAUUCCUUCCCUUAUUCUCUUUUGCUACAGUUCUAUUUUUCAUAUGAUAAGAAAUGCAUAUUUCAGUGAUUUUCAUUUUUGUUUUCUUAUGUGCAUUUAGCCUAUCUCUCGUUUCUUUAGCUUCUGAGUUUCAGAGUUAUUCUCAGGUUUCUGUAUGUUUAAAUUUUACUCUAAUCACAAAUCGUUAGUAUAGUUUAGUAUAAAUCAACCUUCUAUUGUUUAAUCCGUUCUAAAUGAAUUGUUAUCGCUUUAGCGGUUUGUUUUAAACUCUGUUGUUGAUAAGAUAGCCUCAUGUUAGUUAUUUCAAACUUGCAGUAUCUUGACUCUAGUAUAAUUUCUGAUUUCUUAGAUUAUGAUUUUUGGUGCUUGACUGCUGGAUUCAUUCUGGAAUACUCAUUAGAUGUAGUCUUAUGUUCAAGUUUUGAUGUUCAACCUAUCUAAUUGAGCUCAUAAUGUUGUUGCUUGUUUGAAUGACUUGAGAUGUAUGCUGAUUUCCUCUCUUGUUGGCUUAAUCUGAAAUUCCCUCAUGUCCAUUUAAUUCAACCCCCUAUUUACUGUAGCAUCGUAAUUAUUUUUCUCUUCAUUGGCUAAAAUUUGAUUGCGAAUUGUUGAGAUAUAAGUUUAAAUUUCAGGUUCUAGUUUGUUUAAAGCUCAUGAAUGUUUUAAGUCUCGUGUUUACCUUAGUUUCUACUCGUCUACCUGCCUAUUCUGAUUUGAUUUGUACCACUCUGUUCUGAAUUUAUUUGGUAUUCGUUUAGUCUAGUUUAGCUUCGAAUUUUGUCACCUGAAUCAAGUCAUGCCUUGCUGUUCAUUUGGAGCUUUAUUUUCUUACAUUAAGCCCAUGUAAGCAUGGUUAAUUGUUAAGCAUAUGUCCAGCAUGUUUCCAUCUUUUUUUUCUUCCCCUGGUUGAAUUCGUAUGAUGAUAUGCCCCCACUGUUUUCCCUAUCUAUAGUAAGCUUGUUUGAAGUGUAUUUUGCCAUCAAUGUUGUUAGUUACCGUCUCCAGGGGGUUUGUUUAUUUCAUUUCCUUUUGGCCUGAUUUGGUGGUCUUUCCUAAUAUGUUGUAGUAGCAUUGGUUCAUUGAUAUAAAAUUAUAUUCAUUGUUAAAGUGACUAGGUUGGGGUAGCUUCAUAUUCAUUUGGUUUUGUGAGAUUAGAAUGUUUCAUUUAAUAUCAUUCGGAAUAGAUGAAUUAUAGGAUAACAACUUUGAUAUUAAUAGUGGUAUAUUAUAUUGCGCAGUAUUUUACAGCAUCGUCCUUUUUUAUUUAUCAUUUUGAACUUUUAUUAACUUACUUACGUCCAUUUCUUUUGCAUGUGAAUUUUCCCAAGUCUUCACGGACUCUAUCUUUGCAUUUCAAAGGGGGCCACGAAGCCCCCCAAAAAUCCUUUUUCGAGUCGGCCAGCAUGAAAAAUCAAAGAUCAGGUCCUUGACAUUGACGUACAGGUGUUCGGAGCGAAUCAAAGUGUUGGAUACACACAACAUACAUCGAUAUACAUCAGUCGUAUACGCUAUAUAUUGCAUUGAAAAUGGGCUAAAAGUGCCCUAAAUUGUCAGCUUUGUAUUUUGUUACUUUUGGGCCUAAGCUCUUCAUUUGCAAUUAUUAUUAUCACUUGUUAGUUCUUAGGACAGGUGGAAGAUGGGCCUAAGACCCAAAGAAAUCAAUUUCAAGAUUAGUCUAGGACAUGUACUAAUUAUUGCGCCUUUGGAUCCAAAAUUGAAGGCCCAAGUAUUGACCCAAGCGGACAGAACCAGACUUGGGCCCAAAUAUUUCUUCUCUUUAUUUGCUUACCUAUUUGUUAUGGUGUCUUAUUUGUUCAAUUAAUUUUAAGAUUUUUCACCAACUCAAUUCCCCAAAGAAGAAUCAACCUUGCCUUUUAAAAUCAAACAAGUGUAUCUUUAUUUUACUUGAAUUUAAUUUUUUUUAGUAUUUUUGGUAUUUUUCUACUUAAGCAAUAAUCUUAUUUCCCCUCCCAUAAAAAUGAGUUAAAAAAAUGUUUACUUCCUCUAUUUAUCCA